rnacentral:rRNA from 1 species
GUUGAGGAAGAUAAUGACGGUACUCAACAAGGAAGUGACGGCUAACUACGUGCCAGCAGCCGCGGUAAAACGUAGGUCACAAGCGUUGUCCGGAAUUACUGGGUGUAAAGGGAGCGCAGGCGGGAGAACAAGUUGGAAGUGAAAUCCAUGGGCUCAACCCAUGAACUGCUUUCAAAACUGUUUUUCUUGAGUAGUGCAGAGGUAGGCGGAAUUCCCGGUGUAGCGGUGGAAUGCGUAGAUAUCGGGAGGAACACCAGUGGCGAAGGCGGCCUACUGGGCACCAACUGACGCUGAGGCUCGAAAGUGUGGGUAGCAAACAGGAUUAGAUACCCUGGUAGUCCACACCGUAAACGAUGAUUACUAGGUGUUGGAGGAUUGACCCCUUCAGUGCCGCAGUUAACACAAUAAGUAAUCCACCUGGGGAGUACGACCGCAAGGUUGAAACUCAAAGGAAUUGACGGGGGCCCGCACAAGCAGUGGAGUAUGUGGUUUAAUUCGACGCAACGCGAAGAACCUUACCAAGUCUUGACAUCCCUUGAYGAUGCUGGAAACAGCAUUUCUCUUCGGAGCAAGGAGACAGGUGGUGCAUGGUUGUCGUCAGCUCGUGUCGUGAGAUGUUGGGUUAAGUCCCGCAACGAGCGCAACCCUUAUGGUCAGUUACUACGYAAGAGGACUCUGGCCGGA